GAUAGAGUCUUGAUAUCCCAAACUCUAUAACUCUUCUUAUUGAUCUCUCAACACACCAAUUACAAGAUAGACAGAGAUUACAAGAUAACUAGAAGCUGAUAAAGUGAAUCUCAGGUUAGGAUCUCAUGGCGAUCUCAACUCGAAGACUCAACACGAUCUCAUGGCGAUCGUGAGGAAGGAAGACUCAUGGCGUCUCACUCUUUCUACAACAUCAGCAUGAAGUCUCUGCUUGUACUCUUUCUCUUCUUAUAUCGUUGAAUUGCUUCAGAACUGUGUAACAGCAUACCCUCUGAUACAAUCCACAGCUUUGCUUUACCCCAUUGCCUCAGCCACGUCAGAAACUCACCCUGCCACGUCAGACUCAGAUAAUAGAAGUCUAUCAAUACUUCCCCCUUUGAAAACAAGCUUGCCCUCAAGCUUGUAGGAAAAGAAACCCGUAUGCACUCAUUAACCGAAGUAUAUCUCCACUGAGAUGAAAGCACAGCUAGUAUAUAUGUCUUGAACGCUCCAGCUUCAAUCUCUAUACCUUUCUGCUACUUUUAGUCUAGCUUUGUAUUUGAACAUCCAUGUUUUGUACCACCUCUUCCAUUUCCGCCUCUGUUGUAUCAGAACUUGCAACCUGUGUCUCUUGAUACACACCAAUAAUAUGAAUCUUCUUUCUCUAAGCAGAUGAUAAUUCACCACUACUAUCUUCCAUAAUAUGCCCUGUACUAUCUUUUCCUUCUCUUUCCUAACAUAUUUGUUGAUGAUAUCAGACUCGCUUGCUGUUGUAAACCACCAAAUCAGCACACCCACUAUAAACAAGCAAGCAUGUAUGCUCAUGUAUGCUUCCCUCCUUGAAAACAAGCUUGACCUCAAGCUUGAGCAUAACAUAAUGAUGGAAUCACUCUCAAGAAAUGACCCAUGUUGCUGCAACGUCAAACACCACCACUGCCAAAUAACUGCAGAAAUCAUGUAAGAACUGAUGUCGUUCAUAUAUUUAUGUUCCAUGAUCGCAAGCUGUUCCCCACGAUUCCCAAAUGGCUGCAGAAAUUUGUAUUUCCACUUCCAAGUUUUAACAAACUUCCUCUGUCGGUGCUUACUUGGUACUCUUCUCACUUUAAGAUCACUGCAAGAUCCUCCCAGUUCCAACCACCAACGGAGAUGUCUCUCGUCCAGUCGCGCUAACAUUCUCCUGACCAAAACAGACUUUGUGGCAUCAUUCUCAUCAACCAACUGGUCCACACAACCUUCUGAAUCUGACACUGGUGUGAAGUGUUUCACUCUCCAUUUGUGAUUCACAUGGUAUGUCAAAACACCAAGAAACAACUGUCUCCCAUACUUUGAAUCCUGCCUCCUCUUCACAGUAAGAAGCUCCUUAUGUUUCCUUUCAUCAGUGACUUGUUUUGAAUUCAUUUGUAACAUGAUUCUCAGCAGACUCAAUGGUUUAUACUUGAAUUUCCAAGUUUUUAAGCCUUUUCUCUGCCGCUUCUUAAUUGGAACCCGUCGCAACCUGUGACCACACAGUCGAGAGACACAAGCAAUCUCCAAAUUCUCUUCAUCAAUAAUCACAGUUUCUCUCAAGAAUUGCACUGAAUCUAUUUCUUCCAAAACUGGUGCUGAUGAAUAAUUCUCCUUCACGAAGUCAUGCCUCAGAAACAAACCAGUCUGCUGUUCAAGUGCAUUAAGUGAGUCUUGUGGAACCAUUUCUUCUGUCUCUUCAUAAGCCUUCAUAUCAAUUGCUUCUACAAGUGGUGAAUUUAACUUCCCCACCAAUUCUGUCUCACGAACAGCUUCAUUGAUCAAUGUGGAUUCAUCUUUCUCCUGAACUAGCUCUUCCUCUUGAUCAGUCGCAUGAAAUUUAUCUUUCUCUCUUUCAGUCUGCGUCACCAUUACUACUCGAGGAGAACACUCUUUGACUGAACCAAAUGGCUUCAGAGAAUCAGUAUUCUGCACAAUCUCAAUGGCUUCAUGUUCGCAUCUCAAACAAGCCGUUUGGUCAAUCUCACAAAGUGAGUCAGCCACAUAUGGACUUGUCUCUUCAGUCUCUAGCUCAGCAGAAACAUCUUCCUCAGUUGGUGAUGCUGUCUUCUUCACCAAUUUUAUCUCAGGCACAGCUUCACUGCUACAAGAUGAUUCAUCCUUUAACUUCACAGCUACUGAAGAACAACUCCGAACAUGACCAAAUCGCUCCAGCAACUGUAACUUGAAGUCACUCCAAUCCUUGAAUUUCGUUCUGCGCCUCACACAAUAAAACCAUCGACGAGCAGCUCCUUCCAAAUACAGAAAAAUAAGGUCUAGUUUUGCAUCAUCUUCAUAAUGACAAAAGAACCGAUCAGCUUUCACAAUCCAACUUUCUGGAUUUGCUCCAUCAAACAUAGGCAAGUCCUCAAACACAGGCAUCUCAGCAUUUUUGAUAAUAUGAUCACUACUUUCAACAUUCAACACAUCAGCUCGAUAACCUAAUUGAGAAUCCUUCCUGUUUUGUUCCAUAUUCUGAAGCGAUACCUGAGAAUGAAAUGUCACAGAUGUCGGAGCUUCGUUCUUUCGCAAGUCACCAUCUAUCACUCGUGAGGCCAAUUUCUCCUUCCCUGAUAUCAUACUCCGAUUAUCAUUCAUGGCAGAUCUCCUCGAUGCAAGGAAUUUUUGGAGUCCACCAGUCAAAUACUCCAUCAACACAACACUAUCACUCUCGAACGACGAUCGCGACUCCAGUUUGUUAACCGCCAGAACAUCCAUAGAUUUCAUCGUUUGUUGAUCGAACGACGACGACGACGACCGCGAGUUUCUGUUCAUCGUCUUUGCCAUCUUCAUCGCAUCGAACUCCAGAUUCCAACCUCUCUGAAAAGCUGUUGUAUCACGUCGAAUGGAUCCGUAACCUCCAUAAUCUUCGCAACCUCUGUAAGAUCCAUAAACAGAACCAUCGCGUCUCUCCAUUCUCACCGCCGAUUCACCAAAUUAAAUCACCACCGCGUUGGAUUCGAAACCGUUUCACCGCACCAAUGAUAGAGUCUUGAUAUCCCAAACUCUAUAACUCUUCUUAUUGAUCUCUCAACACACCAAUUACAAGAUAGACAGAGAUUACAAGAUAACUAGAAGCUGAUAAAGUGAAUCUCAGGUUAGGAUCUCAUGGCGAUCUCAACCCGAAGACUCAACACGAUCUCAUGGCGAUCGUGAGGAAGGAAGACUCAUGGCGUCUCACUCUUUCUACAACAUCAGCAUGAAGUCUCUGCUUGUACUCUUUCUCUUCUUAUAUCGUUGAAUUGCUUCAGAACUGUGUAACAGCAUACCCUCUGAUACAAUCCACAGCUUUGCUUUACCCCAUUGCCUCAGCCACGUCAGAAACUCACCCUGCC
rnacentral:lncRNA from 1 species